rnacentral:rRNA from 1 species
CAAUAGCGUAUAUUAAAGUUGUUGCGGUUAAAAGCUCGUAGUUGGAUUUCUGUUGUGGGCAACCGGUCCGUACCAUGUAUGUGUAUCUGGUUUGGCCACGGCAUCUUCUCGAUUCGCGCUAGUGCGCUUCGUUGCGUGUAGUGGCGUUCGGGACUUUUACUUUGAGGAAAUUAGAGUGUUCACGGCAGGCCAUUGCCCUGAAUAUAUUAGCAUGGAAUAAUAAUAUAGGAUCUCGAUUCUAUUUUGUUGGUUUCAGGAGUUGAGGUAAUGAUUAAUAGGGACAAUUGGGGGCACUCGUAUGAAGACGUCAGAGGUGGAAUUCUUGGAUUGUCUUCCGACGAACUACUGCGAAAGCAUUUGCCAAGGAUGUUUUCAUUGAUCAAGAACGAAAGUAAGGGGAUCGAAGACGAUUAGAUACCGU